rnacentral:tRNA from 1 species
AGUGGUAAGGCGGGGGACUGCAAAUCCUUUUUCCCCGGUUCAAAUCCGGGUGCCGCCU